GGCAAAGCGUUUGUCCAACCUAACUGGGUGUGGGGGCCGGGUUCUUGGGCAGAUAGGGGACCUAUGCGCAGUUGGGGGCUAUGAAAGCCUAGGCCGUUGUCAUUUCUUCUCCCCCUACACUGUCUUCUGUUUCCUCCCAUCCGUUUUUUGACGCUUGCCAGAGCUCAAAGACGUGGCGACAUAGUCUGAGUAAUAGCUGAGAAUGAAGCCGGCUUCUCGUGUUCCUCACUCUUUAGAAAAGUGAAGACUGUGGACAACCUUGCUUCUUGCACAUGAGAAAACAGACCAGAUUCUCCGUCUGUUUAUGGUUUUCAAAGCUCCACAUCCUCAAAUUCCAGACGCCAGACGUCAACACCAGCUCCCCUCUUCCUUCCAUUCAAGUUAGCUCAGUGGUUCUCAAAUUUCAGCAUCCGAAUCACCUGGAUGCUGUUGAAACACAUUUCUGGGUCCCACCCACAGAACUUCUGAUUCUGUGCAUCUGGAUGAGGCCCAAAAGUUUUCAGUUCCAUCAUGUUACCAAGUGAUGUGGAUGUUACUAAUCAGCGGCCAUGCUUUGCUUUAUAUAGAAGGGCUGUGCCUCUCUUUAAUCUCAGGAGUUUGGAAUGAAGAUCUCUUAUUUGUUGGCUUCAAAAUUGCAUAUGCAUACUUUCAAGUUUAUUAACUGACAUGUUUGAAUCUUCCAAACCUUCUUUUUAUGUUGCUUCGUCCUGAUUGCUCUGCCAGUUCUUGAGAAAGGUUACCAGCUCAGGGAAUGGACUGUCCUGGAGACAGAAGCUGGAGUCUGGAAGCCUCAAGACCAAUGCACCCCAUCUCUCUGGAAAGUCUGGGAGAGGACACGAUCAUUCUAGCACCAGUUU